rnacentral:lncRNA from 1 species
CUUCGUUUAGGGGAAAGGCUUCUCUUCCGCAGAACCCGGCCUUCUAGUCUUAAGGGCAAGACUAAGGGAGACAGCAUUUGAGGUUAAAUAAGACAAUCCUCCUUUCUGUAGGGUCUAGGCAUUUGUGCCUCUCCCUUGAAACUCACUGUCAAGUUUUCAUUUUUCUCAAUUAUUUUUGCCAAUGUUAGAGUAAGAAACGGGUUCUGAUCAAUGAAAAGUGGGGCAGGCAAAGAUAUGAGGCCUUGUGCUUUAGACACAUGGGGUGUAUCCAAAAAUAGAUGUGGAUGUAUAGUUAAGAGCCAUGUGGGUGUGUGCAGAGGACACUGUUUGCUUAGCGUGUAGAGCACAUGGAAUGGAAGGAAGGAAGAGUGGUCUCUUGCCCAAUACCUUGACUUUCGUAACCCCAAUUAUGCUUUGUGUCCCCUGAAUCCCCCAUACUUUGUUUCACUGAGUCGGAAUCGAAUGCAGAAGUUUCAAGCAUCCCAUGCAUAUAUCCUUCAACUCCAUUAAAGCCUCAACACAAUCAUGUCCUUUUCCCUGCUUCUGCCUCCCUCUCAUCUUACGCAUUUUUUCAUUUUUCAUAUGAGACCUUGCUUAUUAAUGGAUUAAAGGUUUUUCUUAUUUAUUAAAUAAUUGCAUGAUUGAGAUAGAGAGUUGCUUUA